UCAUUUUCUUUAAAUGUUUUGCAAAUUUGGUGCAUCUCUCUCUCUCUCCCCCCACCUAUAUAUAUACAUAGAAAUCUCUAGAUCUAUGAUUUUAUGAGAUCUAUAAGCUUUAAUCCAUGGUAAAUCUAUCAUCUUCUUCAAAUAUUCUGCAACAAGGUGUUUCUCUUUUGUCAAACCAAGUCAGAUUCACUUCUCUUCCGAGUUCUCUCUCACCUGGUAUCGAAAACCCUAGAACAUAGGAAUAGGGGCUUCAAGUGUUGCAGGAGGUUUGGCUUACCACAUGGUUAUUCAAAGAGACCACAACACUCUAUACCAUAAAGUGACAUUUUCAUGGUAAAGAUUGUUUCUUGGCCUUGAUUAUCAUCCUCAAGCAAGUCUUCACAAUGAUUAGUAAAUGACUAAUAUUGUGACUUUGAAAAUUGAACCAUAGCCAAUCCCACAUUUAUAUCAAAGAAAACCAAAGCUUAUGACUGAGGCAAAACAAAUUCUAAAUAAGGAAAACUACGAUCAAGAGACCUAUUUCUAAACAACUAUGCUAUCUAAAUUGUUUUUUUUUUCUUUCUUUUUGUUCUGUCUUUUUCUUUGGUCUCUAUGUAUGUGUAUCUUGUGUGCUUGUACCCACACACAGAUUAGACUAGUGUAAAAUUCUUAUUCAUAAACUCAAAAACUUCUUGGGAACUCCAUUAAUUCCAAGCUAUCUUCAGAAGAUAAGCAUCUUUUCCAUGUCAAAAAUACCAUCAUUAGGUGUCAGUAGCUAAGCUCACUAAGCCAACAACCCAAUUCAAUAACCCAAUAUGUGGAAAGAGAGAGACAUUGAGGGUGCCAUUACAUAAGCUAGUGGGAAACUUUUCUGCUUCCCAAGCAAUAUAGGACUCUCACUGAGUGGAGCACCAAAAAAGAAAGUCUCAUAUAGUAAGAUAAUUAUAAACUUGUUUAUAAGUGAAAGUCUGGCUUUGUUUUCACGAGUAGGAUUGUUGAAGUCUCAAAUUUGUUCAGUUUUUAAGUUCAUUCCCAAUCCUGGCUUAAACCUGAGGAAGUUGGUUGACCAAUAUUCUGAGCCAGGAUGAACUAUGGAAACAAAGAACCAAAUCACACCAAUCCAAUUUGUAACUCAUUUUAUCAAUAUAUUAUUUUUUAGUUGCUCAACAUUUUCUCACAAAGCAUCACUAGCCUUAAAAUAUAUGUGCAUGCACUAAAAGCAUUUCUUAAUUCUACAGAUUACAUAUCAUUUUAACUAAAGAAUUUAAUCAUAACUCAAAUUUAACUAGCACUUCAAUCCUUUCAAAAAAAUAAUAAUAAAAAUAAAUAAAUAAAUGAAUAAAGUAGUUAUUCUAUCUAAAAAACUGAUUCAUCAAGACUUGGUGUAAACAUAUAAGCACAUACUCUAAACUAUAAAAUAAAAAUGCCAAACCACAUAAUAUCAGUAUAUUAAGGAAUCAAGAAGCAUAAAAGUGAAAUUGAUUAAUUUGGUAUAAUUGUAGUCAGUUCAUCAUAUGUGCAAAUAGGACAAAAUAUAACUCAUUAAGCCUAUCUACCAUAAUGCAUCCAAACAUAUUAGAAGAAAUUGCCAAGUCAAAACAAAUCAAGAAAAAAAGUUAUUUUAACAGCAAUGGCACUCACCCAUUCACCAAGGCAAAGGGACCAGUAAUAUUUGGCAAAUCUUUGACAUUCACUAGACUCUUCUCCUUUUGCUGCUAAGCACCUGUAGUUUUUGAUUGAAGAAUAAAAAAAUCAAAAAAAAAAAGAGGCAAUUACUUAGUUCUACAAUAAGUUGGUAAGAUGUUUAAAACUCUUCAUAUAGAGCCUAUUCAUUCAUGAAUGCCUCAAAAUGAUACAAUACUAAAAAAGUGUGCCUGUGAAACUCAAUGUAUCGAGUGAAACAAUGUCUAGUCUAAUUGGUUGUAGGAAAUCAAAAAUCAGCUGGUGCAGUCUUCAGUUCAAUCUGAAAGGCAACAUAAAGAAGUUGAUAUCAGUAAAAAAGAAAACCAAAAAAGAAAAAAAAAA